UUUUGAUGGACUGAUUUUUCUUCUCAUUAUGCAUUCUAUUUUCCUCCUCUGCUUGCCUUGUAAUUUUUGAUUGGAUGCUAGACAUUGUGGAAUUUGCCUUGUUGGAUGCCAGUAGCAUGAGUGGCCUGUGGAUCUCCUCUAUAGGAGGAAGCAGAUUUAAUCCUGAUGUUCAUUUGUAAAGCCUUUAGCUUAAAAGGUAAAGAAAAAUUAUUCCUGGAUAAUUGUUCCUUACAGCAGAUUUAUUGUGAAUAGAACAUUUGUGUUUGUGUGUGUGUAUGCGUGUUUGGGAGGGUUGUUUUCCUGGGCACAUACAGAAGACAGAUUGUUGAUAGCAAAUGUUUAGUCAAGGGUGAGAACACUUUUGUUUUUGUUACAGAUCCUUUCUACCAGCCAGAUGAUAUUUUCUCCUUUUAAUCAGUGCCACAGAAGCUUUUGUGCGUUAUAGGAGUGCUGCUUAAAUAUGAUAGAACAGCCAUAUCUUUUAAUUUAGUCCCAGUAGGAGAAUAAGCCAUUCUUCUUUUACUAGGCGACAGACGGGGACUUUUCAUGUUACCUAAAGCUCAGCUGUGGGAAGCCUUUGAGAGAUAGUGUUAUCAUGUUGGAUUUUCUUGAAUCAUUUACCAGAGGCAACUGGCUGUCUCCAUUUUCCACAAAGCAUUGCUUUUGAACUGGAAUGCUCUUUGGAAAUGAGCCUGAAAGGCAACAUGCACACACUUAGCACAUUGUUUGCCUGGCCUUAUACUUAAUAGGUGUGAUGGGACAAAAGUAAUUAACAUAUGAGGAAGGUCCUGGCUUGGCCUGCUCAAUUCCCUUCACUUCCUUGCAUACAGAGGAAGGCUCCACCAAUUCCAGACAAUUCUUUGGCCUUUUAUGAUGCAAAAUUGAUGGAAUGAGUAUAAGAUAGAAAGGCCAAAAGCAAAGCAGAUGGAUUUUUGACAGAAAAGCAGAGCAGAGAACUAGCAUCCAGGGAUCUGCAGGCAAGGCAUGUCCUUUGCUAGGGGGCUCUGGGAAGAAGUGAACUUUUUGAAGAAAGAAAUCUGGAUGAUGGAAUGAUGUAGAAGCAUAAGCAAUUCUUCUGUGGAGGGACAGUGAGAGGCUUCCAGGGGCUUGGGACAUUAUAAAAUAGAGAAAGAGAGGAUUUUAAUGAGUUCUGUUGUUUAUGACUUGUAUCCUCUUUAAAGAUGUUGACAUAUGUAUGUAAACAUUGGACAUCCUGUCUGGAUUAUACUUCUCUGAAUGUAACAGCCGUCUGGGACUGAGCCCAGUGACCAUGGCUUCCUUGGGAUUAUAUCUGCAUGACAGUUAUGAGCUUUUAUAACAGGCUUUUUCUUUGGGUGCUUCCUAUUUCAGACACAUUUUCGUCCAUUGGAAAAUUUCCAAUGAUGAGAGGUUUCUGUGGGUGUAUGAAUAUCUUUGAACCGAUAGACUCAUUCAUCUACAAGACCAUUUUAGACACCUGUGAAGUAUUCUCUAUGUCACGCAAGCAGUAGAUCUGCUGACAAUGCUAUAUCAUAAAAUAAGAUUUGUGAUGCUGUUAGAGAUACAAGAUGGUGAGUGAUGAUGAUGGGGCACAACAUCUUAAGAGCCUGAAGAUGAACUGGAAAAAAUUAAAAUCAAGUUUCAAGAGAUUUAUUUGCCAACAUACAUCUAGAGAAAACUUGGCAGGGUGUGUAGAAACAAGUAAAUACGCAAGUGAGCUAUCAAGUUGCUUAAGUCUUCCUUUUGUUCAGAAUAUUCCUAUUGGGUAGAACUCUUAAUUGAUUACUUGUUGAACGUUCUCUUGAAUCUGUGAAGUUUUUUGGGACUUCGACUUUACAGCAAUAAUAAAAGAUUUUCAAAGGAGAAUCUAAUCAUCCCUCAAGAAUGAUUUCCAUUUCUAAACAUGCAUCUCUGAUUCUAUAUAAUAUAAUCAAUUUUGUAACUUUUAAAGUCUUCUCUUGUGUCAACUUGCUGUAGGAUUCGCAGUGUGACUACUGAUGAGUCUAAAUCUACCCAAAAGAAAGACAAUAGGUUGUAAUAAACCCAUUAGUUUAAAUCUUUAGCAAGGCUGUGCAAUCAUAUCGGGAAGACCAAGCCACACAGAUCCUAUAGCCCUGACUGCAGAUUAAGGUCAUGGGGACUCUGGGAAGGACGAGAGAAGCCUUCGGAGCCCAGCCUUUUGAACUCUCCUAAGUCACAUUUGCUCACCUCUCUGCUGUUCUGCUCAUUUGAAAUAAUCCACUUACACCCAUUUUUGUGUACAAAUAGGUUGUGUUGUCAAUCACAAUAAGACGUCUCACAUGGAGAACCAUGAUUUCCGAUGACAUCUACCUUAUCUUCUAGCUGUAACAAAGAAUUUGGAAAAAGAGAAUAAUGGGAAUACUUUUCUUUUAUGUUCUGAGAGCACAUUUACACUAAUACUUUCUAGAUACUUUAGUACUUCAAGUAUCCCUAUGAGGUAGGCACUUAUACUAGUUAGGAUAGGUAAUUCAAGCUGCUCUAAUUAAAAAAACCCCUAAUUCUCUCUGGUUUAACACAAUAAAGAUUUACUUCUGGUUUAUGGCAAAGUCCAAAGUCGAUGGUCUUACUUGGCAGAAGACCUUCUAGAAGGUCAUUCAGAGACUCAAACACCUUCCAGUCUGUGGCUCUGCUGUCGCUUGGGGGCCUGGAGUCCUCUGCUAGAUCUUCUGUAUUCAUCCAGCAGAGCAAGAAGAGAGAGCAUGGCGUGUCACUUGGAAGGUUUGUGUGGGCCAAAUCUGAAGCCAGCAUCCAUCACUUCUGCCUUUCUCCUAACAGCCAGCACCAUCUGGCCACCCUAAACUGUAAGAGAGGCCAGGAAAUGCAGUCUAGCUCUGGGACCAGAAGGAAAGGAAAUUGGGUUUGCUGAAAAACUACCCAGUCUCUGGCAUAGUGUUAUCAUCCCCACUUUACUGAUGUGGAAACUGAGACAUAAAGAAGUUAAGUAAUAUACCAAAGUCACCUGACUAACAGAUGGUGGGCUAGAAUCUGAACCCAGGAAUCUGACUCCAGAACAGCCUUUUACACCAUGGUACAGGGCUGCCUCCCAGAUGAUUACUGCAUGGUACUUCCCAUGACUUCAAAUCAGUAAAAUGAGGCAGAGGAAGAUAACAUGCCUCCUCCUAGUUGAUAAAAUGGAGCAGACACAAGACUAAUGUUUGCUUAUUCAUGGAACUGAGGUCUCAUCUAGAAGAAGUAGUGACCCUGGCUGUCUUCCUGAGCAUCUUUGGGGAAGAGGGGUGUGUGUUCCAAUCUCAGUGAAUAUUUUAGGGUGAGCCAGCUCACCCUCUAUCACCUGAGACUCUUGUUUCCAACAGCAUGCAACUAAAGAGGCAAAUAAGUAGAACAGAGAUCAUGGGGUCAAACAGACAGGCAGUAUGGCAUGGGGUUGAGAGGCAGAAUCUGGAAUCAGAGCUCCUAAAUCUGUAAAAUCCAUCCCUGACUCCGCCACUAGCUGGAUGUGUGACUUAAGUUCUUAAUCUCUCUAUGCUAUAGCUUACUCAUUUGUAAAAUGUUGAAAAUAAUAAUACGUACCUCAUAUGUUGUUAUGAAGAUUAAAUUAAUACAUACAAGGUGCUUAGAAUAGUAUCUGACAUAUCAUAAGCAAUCAAGAGGUUAGUCUGUGUUGUUAUUGUUGUUGUUAUUGUUAUUCACUUGCACCUGAUCAAGCUAAAGGCAUGACACAUACUUUUGCUGACACAUAAAGAAAACUGUCAUCUCAGUAAAUGGCAGUUCAUCUGCUCAGUAGCUCGUGCUGUUGGACUCUGCCCUUCCUCAUCCCCGAACUCCAAUCCGUCAGUUAAGUCCUGGCAGCUCUACCUCCAAGGUGUUUAUUAUAUUUAGUUCACUCCAUCUUCUCUGCUCCACCCUAGUUGAAGCCUCUGUCAUCUCUUGCCUACAGCACUGAAAAACCCAAACUGCUCCUUGCUUCUCCUCAUACCCCUACAAACCAAUCUCCAUGCAGAAGCUGGAGUGAUCUUUUGAAAUUACAGAGCAGACCAUACGAUUCCCCUGAUUAAACCUGCAAAUGACUUCCUACCUCAUUUAAAUAAAAUCUCAAGACCUUCUCUUGGUCUUUGCCUUAGCAAGGGGUAGAUAAUUCCUUAAUAGGUCCUAGUUAGUCCAAGACAAUCUUAGCUUUUACUGUUCUUCCAAGAGUAUUAUUAAUAGCACCUCCUUUUACUCUUAAUAGUGUCCUGACGUAGAUGAUAAAUAAUAUGAUUACCCUACUUACAGGACCUGCAGCAUCCUCACCCUAAGUAAUACUACAAAUACUCCUGGGUAAUAACACUUUGGAGGGGUGGUGAGGAGGACUCACCUCCCAAAUUAAUUAAAGUCCUUUCUCCUUAAAUGCAAAGUUUGAAGCAAUUUAAUUAUAAUACUGAAGUUUGAAUUUAGUUUGAUUGGCAUUUAGCUGUAUUUUUAAUGAACUGGUGAAUGACUUAUACGUGGGCCGCUCUGCCUCUGGGCCCUGUCUUCCUCCCGGAGGGACUAGGCCAUCUCUCCAGCACGGCCUGAGUCAAUAGGCUACUCUCCGGGCCACAUUGUUACUGUUACAUGUAGAUCUCCUAAUGGACUGUGGACCCUUCUCUCAGACAAGAUUCAGGUUCCUGGAGAAACUUCAGCCCUCACAGCAAUCCCUCCACCCUCUCUGCAGGUAUCCCACCCAGAACGGUGAGAAGAUUUACCCUUUGACUCCCCUUUCUGCCUGGGGAAUAGCCCUUUUCCUCUCCACUGAGGACUGAGAAGACAGACGGUACAUUUAACCUCCCCUGUCUAGUACCUACCCGUGCCUUGUGAGCCCAUGUGCUCUGUGUAAGGCCCACUCACUGAGAGAAACAAGAACCUAUUUCUAGUCUUUAACAGACUUUUAUGAUCUAGUUCUGCCUAUCUCUCUGACUUCAUCACCUUUUACUUUUCCCCUCCAUUAGCCACACUGCCUGCCUUUUCUUUCUGGAAUAUUCCAAGCAUGAUCCUGCCUUACAGCCUUUGCACUUGUGGUUCCUUCUGCCUGGAAUGCUGUUCUCUUGAUCUGCUUGGCUCAGACUAAAUGUCACCGUUUUGAGGUGAGAGGCCUUUCUUGAUCACCCAAUCUGAAGUAAUUUUCCCAAUUGCUUUCUCAUAAUCCUCUUUUAUUUCCUUCACAAUACUUAUUAUCUAAAAUUAUUUUGCUGGUUUAAUUGCUAAUUUUUUCUUUCAAACUCCAUGAUAAUAAUAAUAAUAGUUGCUAGAAUUGCUGUGAGCCUAACACUCUUUCUACAUUGAUUAAUUUUUAAAAUCCUUAUUGUCAUUUUAUGAGAUUGAUACUGUUAUUAUUCCCAUUUAAUAGAUAAAGAAACUGAGGUUUACGGAAAUGAAGGAACUUUUCCAAUGUCACAGAGAAGGAGCCAGGAUCAAGCCUAGACACCCUUGCUCCAGUGUCCAACCUGAGCCGUCAGGCAAGGCCACCUCCCAUAAAAUUUCUCCCCAGCAGAGAGAACUUGCCUGUCCUGUGUGCCACUGUGUCUACUCCCAGCACUUCUGUGAUACUGUGAUUUAUAAUAAGAAAUAUACAUUUGGCUUUUGUCCAGGUUCUAGCACAGGACUCCUUAAGAUAGCAGAAUUUCCUAAGUGGUAAGAGCAAUAAAGGUGUUUUUGGUUAUGGUAAUGAGUGACUUUUGGAAAGUACCUAAGGAUGAGGGCUGCUUGCCAGAGGAGCCAAUCAUGUGACUAGAGCGUUGAAACUUUCAGUCCCACCCCCCUGACCUCCACCAGAGAUGUUCAACCACCAAUGGCCAAUGAUUUAAUCAAACAUGGCUAUGAAAUGAAGCUUCCAUAAAAACUCACAAGGACAAGGUUUAGAGAGCUUCCGGGUUGGUGAACACAUGAAGGCUUGGGGAGAGGGGUGAGCUCAGAGAGGGCAUGGAAGCUCUUUUUCCAUACCUUGCCCUGUGCACCUCUUCCAUCUGGAUGUUCCUGAGUUAUAUCCUUUUAUUAUAAACCCGUACUCUAGUAAGUGAAGUGUUUCUGUGAGUUCUGUGAGCCAUUCUAGCGAAUUAAUUGAACUCAAGGAGGAGGUCAUUGGGACCUCUGAUCUAUAGCUGGUUGGUCAGAAGCCCAGAUGACAACCUAGAUUUGUGAUUGGUGUCUGAAGUGGGUGGGGGGCAAUCUUGUAGAACUGAACCUGUAACUUGUAGAAUCUGAUGCUCUCUCCAGGUAGACUGUGUCAGAACUGAGUUGAAUUGUAGGACACCCAGCUGGCAUCCGAGAUUGCUUGCUGGUGUGAGGAAACCCCUCACCCCUCUGACACACACUGGAAUUGGUGGGCAGAACAGCUUUAACCUCACACAGGACUUGGCAAAAUUAAUGUUUGUUGAACUUUGAGUGAAUAAAUAUUGUUGUAAAACCAUGACCCUAUUUUUUACAAGCAGAGAAGAAAACCUCUCACUUACCUACCUAAUAUAAAUGAUGCAGCCCAAUCCCUUGUUUCAAGAGCUGGAGGCAGAGGCCCAGCAAGCCAGGGCUGCCUCAGAAAUCCAGACAGGGGAAAAGUGCAGUGUAGAUUCCUGGCAGAUCCUGCAUGGAGUCUUAAGAAAUUUCUAGGGGUAGUUUUCCAUGGGGUUUCCGAGUUAGUCAUAAAAUAGGCAAUCUGGUGCCAGCUUACUAACUCUAAAAGAAGCAAAAUCCAGACAUAGAAGCAAAGCAUAGAGUGAACUAACAAAUCCCCUCACACCUUCUCCAUCUUAGGGGUGAGCACAGAAAAUUAAGCUGUCUUCAAUAGAAUGUCCACCACCUGCAACUGAGUACUAGGGGACCUCCUUCCCUCAUAGUCUACUUCUCCACCACACCUCCUCUGGGCUCCCACCGCAUUCUGUACAGACCUGGGCCUCUUCACUCAUCGCAUUAUAUAGAAUUUCACUAUCCUUCUGCCUCCCAUCCCUUCUAGAUGGUAAAGUCCUUUAACAAUACCAUGUCUAGUUCAUCCUUUAUGUACCAUGGCACAGUUAAUAACAUAAGCUUACUAAUGUUAGCUGUGUCCAUCUGACUUGCCUUAGUUUACUUCUCUGAGAGCAAAGGAGAGUCACACAAUGAUCUGCAAGUUGUUUUCCAGGUCUAUAUACUGUAUUGGUCAGGUGCAUUGCUCUUGUUUUGGAUUUGGGUUCCGCUAAAAAAAGAUGAGUCUUUGUCUGUAUGCACUAGAAUCUGGUUGUGUUCCAACUAGUUUUUAACGAGAUGAAUAUGCCCUUUCAAUGUCGUGAUCCUAUUUGUCCCCCUAUCUCUUCCCUGCACUGCUGGUUAUUUAUAUAUUUAAUGUGCAAUUAAAGAUGUACCAGCUCAUACAUCAGAGCCCUGCUCCCAGCAUCCAAGGGGCCCAUUAGAAGCAGAUCUGUGUAUCUUGACUAGACUGAAUCCCUUGGAGGCCAUUUAUCUGGGUUGGCUGUGUGUAUAAACUAGGACUUCUCUUUUUUUCCCCCCCAUUACUUUCUUUAUAUUACCGAUGUUUGUAUAACUAUUGUUCAGUUCUCAUUUUUGUGAACAUCUGUUAUGCAGCCAAUCAUAAAAAAAAAGCUAAACAUAUCAACAACACUUCCCUCACUCCCCAGGGAAUUUAGACCUAUUUAUAUAGCGGCUGAAUGUAAAGAUACUGUGAUUUAUAUCAUUUGUAUUAUUCUAAAACUAACAGAAUGUCUUGGGAGCCUUAAACAAGUUAUAUGAUUUUUCUUAAUCAUCAGCUUCUUUACCACUGAAAACAAAUAAGAGAAACUGAACUAUGAUGUUUUUUACAGUAUUAAUCCUAAUAUUCAUUAACUAAGUAAAAGGCACUUAGCAGCACAAGGAUUUUGUGCUGCUUGAAUCUUAGUUCCUUCUUCUCUCAAAUUCAUUCAUUCAACAAAUAUGUAUUGAAUGUCCUAUGUGGCAGGAAGUAAGUCUCAAAAGCCUAACUUUUUGAAUAUUGAGUUCAUUUGUUGAAUGUAUCUUUCCACAUAUGCAAUUGUCUAAGUGUCUUUGAAUACACUUUGUGCUUCCCGGUACUACCUUUAGUCUUCCAUUUCUUCUUUCAAAUGUGAGACCCAUGCCCAGCACAGAGUGUAUUGAGAAGGGGCUUAAUGAUGUUCCUUCCUGGAGAAAUUGGAGAAUAUUUUGUUUCCUGGCACAUAGAAGGUAAUCAACCAAGAGUUUUUGAAUAAAAAUGAGUGGACGAAGUUAAACUCAAAUAAAAUAAAAGUUUUCAAGUGCUAUUGCAUGGACUGCCUGUCUUUCUCUUGUUACCAUCCCUUCUUUCCUUUUGCCAUCAACAGACUCAUCAGUCUCUCUGCCUACUCUACAAGCUGAGAACCUUUUUGUCCCAUUUUCUCCUUGUGCCCUUGUGCCAUUGACCCUUGUGGUUCUCUAGGAACAGUGUUCUGAAGGUUCUAGAAAUAGAGAAAGCCUGUAAUCAUGGUGUUAAAUUUGUGCUGAUUCUCAUAACACCCAUAAUGAGGAGGAAGGGGGAGAAGAUGGGAAGUCUAAGAAAAGAGGAAAGCAUACAUUUAAUUCAACAAAUAUUUGUUGAAUGUAUUACAUGUAUCCUUGUUCUAGAUACUGAAGAUAAAGAAGUAAACAAGACAACCAAUGUCCUUAUAAUGGCAGAAGAAAGUAAACAAAUCAUUAUAGAAAAAGAAAAAUACCAGAGAAGAAGUAUUUAAGGGGAAUUAAAUGGAGUGAAGUGAGAGAGCAUGACUCCUAAUCCCUUCAGUUUGGGAUAUCAGAGAAAGCCUUUUUGAGGAGGUGAUUGCAUCAUUCAUGCUUAUUAUUUUCUGUGUUUUAUGAUAUUUUGACAUCUCCAGGCCUUGCUAAUCCUGGAGAGACUGCUCCUCCCAGGAUGAGCUAAUUCCUAGAGAUAGCAGAUGACUAUCCCC